rnacentral:lncRNA from 1 species
UUUGCAUAUUGCCAAAAAGAGAACGGGGAGACAUAGUUUCAGGUUUGGGUAUACAGCAAGUCUUGAAGGCAUGCCCAUAGUGAGGACUUUGAUGAAUGGCUCACCACUUCUCCCACGACCCAUCCAAACCUGUAGUGUUAAGGAAGUGAGGUGCUAUUGCUCUUUUAGUAGGCUGGGACACCAGGCCACCACAAUUAUUAAAAAUGUAGGGUUAUUUCAGGAAGGUAGAACAUAUGCUGACCAUACGAAAUAUAUUUUUAGGCAGAUCUUAUCUGGAGAAUGUCGCUUUUGAUGAAGGAAACUAGGUAAAAAUUAUCUUGCUACUCAGAAGAAUUGUUUUAGGUAAGAUAGAUCAAUGGCAAAGAUACUUAAUUGGUUUAAUCACUUUGAAGUCUUGAGGAUGGCCACACAAAUCUGUCUUUCUGAGUAUGGAGAGGGAAAGACCUUGUCUCCUUCAUGUCCAUGUUCUUUUCUCAGUGCUGUUGUCAGGAGCUAGUUGCCACACUUCAAUACCCCCAGGCUCCAAACAGCAUAGGCGAGGGUGGGCUUAGGAUGUGGCUUGUUGCAUAUGUACUUGGUGAUUCCUCCUUGGGCUGGUUUCCUCGUCUACUGAUGGCAAAGUGAAUGUAUCUGUGCAUUGCCAAGUGGCCCUCCCACCCCUGCUCAACGUCUCGUCAUACAUUAUAAUGAGCAGCAACCUCAGCUCUAUGGGGGUAGCCUCAGAAUCUUCCUCCAAGCUAUGACUUUGCGAUGCAGGCAGAAGGACAGGGAAUUGUGUGUGCUUCCUUUUUACCUCUCUCUUUUACUCUCAGCAGACCACUCAAAUGAUGAUGAGCUGCCAAGCUAUAAAUCGUUGAAGAUUCUCUGGCCAGGGAAGCUAUGAAAAAGGAGAGAACUGGUAGGGAGAAAAGAUAGGAGAGCAACACACAUCUUUGCUUCAGGGAUCCAAGGAGGACCACCACAUGAUGAUUUGAAGCUGAACACACCUAUGUCUUGGCUUAUGUCUACACAUCAAGGAAUCAGCUGAGCAGGAAGACUGCCUUGAAGAAACAGAAUCUGCUAUAAGAAUACUAUCAGGAAAGAAUGGUCAAGUCAGGUGAAACCGCUGCUAUUGUAUGACUAGAGAGCUGUACAUUUGGGAGGCUGGUUGUCCAAG